rnacentral:lncRNA from 1 species
GGGGCAGGGGGGGUGGAGGUUGUGGCGUGAUCUUCUGGACUUGUCGCUGGCCUCUUUGGCCAUCCAUUUAGUGAGGGGAGCCGAGCCACCGGCCACCUGUGUUUUCCCGCCUGGGCCAAAGACCCGCUGCACAGGGUGCGGUUGAAACUUGUUCCUCUGAGACCCGGGAUGUGGAUGAGGGAAACUCUUGCCAGGUGAUACAGGUGCUGGGAGUGCUGUGAGCAGAGAGGAAAAACAGAAUCAAGCGGAGGGCAAUAGAAUUCCAGAGCUGGUUAGUACUGAUAAAAAUGAAGUUCCCAGACUUUUUUUCUUUUUUUUUUUUCUCCUGUGUGUGGAAAUACAGAUGCAGUUAUCACUGGCAGAGGUAAGGGGAUGGCCUUGGGAACAGAUCUGACUAAGGACUCCAGUAAGAUUUUUAAAGGCCUUGAACUCAGAAUUGCAUGUGGUGCCACUUUCACCCAGCUCUUCUGCCCCCUGCCCCAUAUUUAAUUUUUAAAGAAAUCACUCUGGAAAAUAACUCUAAGGACAUACAGAGUUCUGAUUCUUCCCAUCAUGAUGACUACUUAGAUUUGCUUUGUCCCCCUUGGUCAUAUAUAUAUAUAUAUGUAUAUACAUANNNNNAUAUAUUUUUUUUUUUUUUUUAACACUGAGUGGUUUUGUUUCUGAGUAUGUACGUGCACACCUCCUUUCUGGUGGCUAAGUAUAUGCUUAGUCCUUCUAUUGGAUACUAUGGCUGUGCCUGCGUGCUUUUAAAAUACUUUUAAAAAGUGUGUAACCAGCAAAUGCCCAUGGUGAUACUUUAACUCUGAGUUCAUAACACUGCAUGCAAUUCAAACCCAAGCCUUCCAUCCUUGGAACACUAGAGAGACUUCUGUUCAGUGAGACACAAUUGCCGUUUUUCCAACCUGAUAUGCAGGUCAGUGUUCCGAAAUCCAGAAGGAACUAAAAUCCACAUGCUUAUCUCCCAAGUAUGUAAAAAUCACCAAACUGUUAAAGUAUUUCCUGAGAUUGAAUAAAUAGUAAAGAAAACCAUAUGGCAGGUCAUAUCAACAGUUCUUAGCCGUGUCAUCAGCCUUUUAUGAACACACAUUCCUAAGCCUCACCUUAGUCUCACAGAAUUAGAUUUCUGAGAGUUUGGCUAGGGACAGAAGUUUUAAAAACCCACAGGUGAGUCUAAUCUGCAGUGAGGGUGAAAACCAUUAGUCUGUUCUCAAGCUUUUAAGGCUCUCGGUGAUGUUAAAAUGUAAAAGUCACUGAAACCCAUUUUUAAUUUAAAAACUUCAUUUCAGCUCAAAUCUUUAAGAUCUUUCCCAACUGAUGUGCCGUUCAGUUAGAGUUUCAUUUUUAACAUGAAUGUAAGAUGUGAAGGAAAUAUUAGUUUAACCACAUGAAAUAGUCUCUCUUUAACUUUUCUAAAGUCUAUAUAUAGAGUAGCUUAAUGUGGUUCUACCUAAUAAAGGAUAAGUAGCAGUUAAGCAGGAUUUUUCAAUUCUGACUGAAUGUUAAUAAUACCUAGGAACAUGAAAAAAAAAAAAAAAAA